GACGAACGCUGGCGGCGUGCCUAAUACAUGCAAGUAGAACGCACAGUUUAUACCGUAGCUUGCUACACCAUAGACUGUGAGUUGCGAACGGGUGAGUAACGCGUAGGUAACCUGCCUGGUAGCGGGGGAUAACUAUUGGAAACGAUAGCUAAUACCGCAUAAUAUUGAUUAUUGCAUGAUAAUUGAUUGAAAGAUGCUAUUGCAUCACUACCAGAUGGACCUGCGUUGUAUUAGCUAGUAGGUGAGGUAACGGCUCACCUAGGCGACGAUACAUAGCCGACCUGAGAGGGUGAUCGGCCACACUGGGACUUAGACACGGCCCAGACUCCUACGGGAGGCAGCAGUAGGGAAUCUUCGGCAAUGGACGAAAGUCUGACCGAGCAACGCCGCGUGAGGGAAGAAGGUUUUCGGAUCGUAAAGCUCUGUUGUAAGAGAAGAACGGGUGUGAGAGUGGAAAGUUCACACUGUGACGGUAUCUUACCAGAAAGGGACGGCUAACUACGUG
rnacentral:rRNA from 1 species